AUGCGCGGUGCCGGCGCUGGCAGCCCGCGGGGGCCGCGAUGAAGCAAGUAUUCAGUCUGUAUGAAAAAUCUUGGUCUGGUUCUCCUGUGCAGUUUACUUGGCAGAAAACUUUAGGAAAUUUUCUUGCUGUAAUAGGAGGUGAUCGUUCUGUGAAAAUUUUUGAUCGUCAUGGUCAGAAGAGAAAUGAAAUCAACCUGCCGGGUAACUGUGUUGCUAUGGAUUGGGAUAAGGAUGGAGAUACUUUAGCAAUAAUCACAGACAAAUCUAGCACCAUAUUUCUGUGGGAUGCAAUCACAAACAAAACAAGCCAAGUAGACAGUGGCAUGAGGGAUGCAAUGUCUUUCUUGUUAUGGUCUCGAGUUGGAGCUUUACUUGCUGUUGGAACAACAAAAGGAAACUUACUCAUAUAUAACCAUCAGACUUCUCGCAAGAUUUCUGUUCUUGGUAAACACACUAAGAGGAUUACUUGUGGCUGUUGGAGUAUUGAAAACCUCCUUGCUUUAGGAGGUGAAGACAGAAUGAUUACUAUAAGCAAUCAGGAAGGGGAUACUAUAAGACAGACCUCAAUCAGCUCAGAUCCCAGCAACAUGCAGUUCUCAGUUAUGAAGACUGAUGAAAGAGUAUCAACCAGGGAAAGCACAGUCAGUGUAGUGGUUGGCAAGAAGACUCUCUUCCUCUUUAAUUUGAAUGACCCUGAUAACCCUAUUGAUCUGAAAUUUCAGCAGCCUUAUGGCAGUAUUGUAAGCUACAAAUGGUAUGGUGAUGGCUAUAUUAUGAUUGGUUUCUCACAAGGGUGUUUUGUAGUCAUUUCUACACACAUUCGUGAAAUAGGACAAGAAGUCUUUCAAGCUCAUAAUCAUAAGGAUAAUCUAAGUAGCAUUGCUAUAUCACAGUCAUUAAACAAAGCUGCAUCAUGUGGAGACAAUUGCAUCAAAAUCCAUGAUCUGACAGAUAUGAGAGAAAUGUAUGCCAUAAUAAACUUGGAUGAUGAAAACAAAGGUGUAGAUCAGAUGGCUUGGACAGAUGAUGGACAGCUGUUGGCAGUAUCUACACGAAGAGGAUCCCUCCAUGUUUUCUUGACAAAGCUUCCAAUCCUUGGAGAUGCUUGCAGUACACGGAUUGCAUACCUCACUUCUCUGCUUGAAGUCACCAUAGCAAAUCAUGUGGAAAGCGAGCUACCAGUCACAGUCUCUGUUGAAGUAGAGCCCAAUUUUGUCGCUAUCGGUGUUUAUCAUUUGGCAGUAGGAAUGAACAAUCGGGCUUGGUUUUAUGCACUUGGAGAAAAUAAUGUAAAAAAGCUUAAAGAUGUGGAGUACCUGGGGACAGUAGCAAGUAUGCACCUUAAUUCCGAUUAUGCUGCUGCUCUCUUUGAGGGUAAAGUCCAGCUGCAUGUGAUAGAAAGUGAGGGUUUGAGUGCUCAGGAAGAACGAGAAACUCGACUUUUCCCAGCAGAUGAUGAUAAAUACCGAAUUUUGUGCCAUGCCUUAACUAGUGACUUCCUCAUUUAUGGUACAGAUACUGGAGUUAUUCGUUAUUUCUUCAUUGAAGACUGGCAGUAUGUGAAUGAAUAUCGACAUCCUGUCAGUGUGAGAAAGGUUUUUCCAGAUCCCAAUGGAACCAGAAUGGUUUUCAUAGAUGACAAAAGUGAUGGCUUUGUCUACUGUCCAGUAAAUGACAGAGUAUAUGAGAUUCCAGACUUCUCACCAACCAUUAAAGGAAUCCUGUGGGAAAACUGGCCAAUGGAUAAAGGUGUUUUUGUUGCUUUUGAUGAUGAUAAAGUAUACACUUACGUUUUUCAUAAGGAUACCAUUCAAGGAUCAAGGAUUAUUUUGGCAGGUGGCACGGAAGUCCCCUAUUCCCAUAAACCUUUGUUGUUGUAUAAUGGAGAAUUAACUUGUCAGACACCAAGUGGGAAAACAAACAGUAUCUAUUUAAGUACUCACAGUUUCCUUGGCAAUUUGAAAGACUUUGGACCUGAUAUGCUGAGACAAAUGCUUACUCAGACUCUAAUGUUGAAAAGGUUUUCAGAAGCAUGGGAGGUUUGCAAACUUCUGAAUGACCAGUCUUGUUGGAAUGAGCUGGCCAAAGCUUGCUUACAUCAUAUGGAGGUGGAUUUUGCAAUACGUGUUUAUCGAACAUCUGGUAAUGCUGGGAUGGUGAUGUCACUAGAGCAAGUAAAGGGAAUAGAAGACCACAACCUUUUAGCAGGACAUCUUGCAAUGUUUACUAGUGAUUUUAAUCUGGCUCAGGAUUUGUAUUUGGCAUCCUCCUGUCCUAUUGCUGCCCUUGAGAUGCGAAAAGACUUGCAGCACUGGGACAGAGCACUGCAGCUGGCUAAGCGUCUGGCCCCUGACCAAAUCCCUUUCAUAUCAAAGGAAUAUGCAGUGCAGCUUGAAUUCAUGGGUGAUUAUGUUAAUGCUCUGGCACAUUAUGAGAAGGGAAUCACUGGAAACAACAAGUACCAGGAACACGAUGAAGUUUGCCUUGCUGGAGUGGCUCAGAUGUCCAUUCGAAUGGGAGAUGUCCGUCGAGGGGUGAACCAGGCCAUGAAACAUCCCAGUAGGUUACUGAAAAGAGACUGUGGAGCUAUUCUGGAGAAUAUGAAGCAAUUUUCAGAAGCUGCUCAGCUCUAUGAAAAGGGACAAUAUUAUGACAAGGCAGCAUCAGUAUACAUCCGGUGUAAAAACUGGGUAAAGGUUGGUGAACUUCUUCCUCAGGUUUCAUCUCCAAAGAUUCACCUACAAUAUGCAAAGGCCAAGGAAGCAGACGGCAGGUACACGGAAGCUGUGAUAGCUUAUGAACAUGCAAAGCAAUGGGAUAGUGUAAUUCGACUAUAUUUGGAUCACCUAAAUAAUCCUGAAAAGGCUGUUAAUAUUGUGAGAGAAACACAAUCUCUUGAAGGAGCAAAGAUGGUGGCCAGAUUCUUUCUGCGGCUUGGUGACUAUGGUUCUGCCAUCCAGUUCCUGGUUAUGUCCAAGUGUAAUAAUGAAGCUUUCACAUUAGCUCAACAGCACAACAAGAUGGAGAUUUAUGCUGAUAUCAUCAGUUCUGAAAGUACUACCAAUGAAGAUUAUCAGAGCAUUGCACUCUAUUUUGAAGCAGAAAAGAAACAUUUUCAGGCGGGGAAAUUUUUCUUGCUGUGUGGUCAAUAUGGACGGGCAUUAAGGCACUUCUUGCAAAGUCCAAGCACAGAAGAUAACUUGGCUAUGGAAAUGGCAAUUGAAACAGUGGGACGGGCAAAAGAUGAAGCCCUAACAAAUCAGCUGAUUGACUAUCUUAUGGGAGAGGGGGAUGGCAUGCCCCAGGAUGCCAAGUACCUGUUCCGCUUGUACAUGGCCCUAAAGCAGCACCGAGAUGCUGCCAGAACUGCCAUAAUAAUUGCCAGGGAGGAGCAGUGUUCAGGAAACUAUCGAAAUGCACGUGAUGUCCUUUUCAGUAUGUAUUCAGAGUUAAAGACCCAGAAGAUUAAAAUUUCUUCUGAGAUGGCUACAAACCUUAUGAUUCUACACAGCUAUAUUUUAGUGAAGAUUCACGUGAAACGUGGUGAUCACAUGAAGGGAGCACGGAUGCUUAUACGCGUAGCCAACAACAUCAGCAAGUUCCCAUCACAUAUUGUGCCAAUCUUGACUUCAGCUGUGAUUGAGUGUCACCGAGCAGGGUUGAAAAACUCAGCCUUCAGUUUUGCUGCUAUGUUGAUGAGACCUGAAUAUCGGAGUAAAAUAGAUCCAAAAUACAAAAAGAAAAUUGAAACAAUGGUCAGACGUCGGGACACAACUGAGACAGAAGAGCCAACAACAGCCUGUCCCUACUGUGCUUUCCAACUCCCAGAGUGUGAACUUCUGUGUCCCAGCUGUAAAAACAACCUUCCAUACUGCAUUGCAACUGUCCAAAAGUAAAUGCUCUGUGGCUGGGCAGCACUUGCCCCUCAGUUACCUGCAGUUUCUGUGUGCAGGGUCGGCACAUGGUGCGUGAUGACUGGACAGUUUGCCCACACUGUGACUUUCCUGCCCUCUACUCAGAAUUCAAAAAGUAAGUUGGGAUUUUUUUCUAUUGGAGUAUUCCAUUUAUUCAUAUUUUAGCAGCUAAUGGAUCAUUUGGUACUAAAAACAUACAACAGCUGGGCUGGGUGGAAGAGGAAUUCCCCUUACUUGGUAGUUGCACCUUAGACACUCACAGAACAUUGUUUCAAAGUUGACCAAAAUGAUAGGAUAUGAUAAAAGAAUUGGGCCAGUAAUGCAGGGCUCCAACAGGAACAGUAAUGAAAAUGGAUGGUGAGCUUGUAUUAAGUUCUCAGCUCUGUCCAGGAAGAAGCCUGAUAUGGGGGUAGGGCAGGAACACAGGCACACCAGCAAUCACCAAAACAAACAAAAUGCACAUAGAAUUGGGUACAGACUAAGACAGCAAUAAUGUCUUGUCCCUGAUAAUCACACAUGACAAUGGGAUGGGAUAGCUCUGUUCCAACGUCAGGAACUCAGGAGCUGCUAAAACCUCCGUUGUUAUAUGUUUAAAUGCAAACAGCUGUCUUCCUGGUGUGGUUCUCAAAUGUUGAAAAUGUAGACAGAGGCAGCCACUGCUCUGUCCUGCACUUUUUACAGGCACUGGUCAGAUCUCUGGUCUAGGCAUUGUGCCUCAGGCCAAACUUCCUUUGGAAAAUGUUAGAAUUUGCUUUUGACCAGUUACCCUUCCUUUAAAACAGCCUGUUACAGACUGAAAAUGUGUGUCCCAUGUGUUCUGAAAAGAUUAACAUUGCUGAUCUUAAGAAAAUAAAUGACUGCACAGAGUACCUCAAACUAGAGGAUGAGGAUCAGUAAACUCAGAACUGCUUGUGUUGGCUGGCAAGCAGCAAGGGAAACUCUUAUCACUACAUCAGUCAUCUCUUCCCCAGGCCUAAUAACAGCCAUGUCACUUCUAUUUUGUGAUAUAUGUAACUAUUUAGCUUUUGAUAAAUUUUGUACUUUGGUUUAUUGUAGUAAUAAAACUGAUAAUUAUUACAAACAAAAUCUGCAUUUCAUCUGCACCAAAGACAAACCAUGGUGCCAUCUUUGUAAUGGGAGUAGCAGGAAGAAAAACCACCUCCCUACUGUCUUCUUUUUCAGUAUCAGUUCUGAACUGUUACGAAUAUUUUCAAUUAAACAUUUUUUACUCUUUAAAUAUUCCUUUCUGGUUUUGAUUAAAGAUAUAACUUAUACAAGUACAGACUAGUCAAGUUAUGGAAGUAAAUCCCUCACU